UGGAAGGAGUUUUCGGAUGGAAGAGUGGACAGUUUAGUGGCGAACGGGUGAGUAACGCGUGAGUAACCUGCCUUUCAGAGGGGGACAACAGUUGGAAACGACUGCUAAUACCGCAUAAGCCCACGGUGUCACAUGGCACAGUGAGAAAAGGAGAAAUCCGCUGAAAGAUGGACUCGCGUCUGAUUAGAUAGUUGGUGGGGUAACGGCCUACCAAGUCGACGAUCAGUAGCCGGACUGAGAGGUUGAACGGCCACAUUGGGACUGAGACACGGCCCAAACUCC
rnacentral:rRNA from 1 species